rnacentral:lncRNA from 10 species
CUCAAUCCUAGGAGCCAAAAGUUUGAUGAAUAUGAAUACUAAUAUUAACCAUUUUUGUGUUCUGUGUCAGGCACUGUUCUUAGCCCUUUACAAGUAAGUUAAUACAUCAUCUCUAAAUGUAGUUACCAUUAUCGAUCCCAUUUUAUAGAUUUGGAAAGUAGGGUACAAAGAACAGUUUGCCCAGAUUCCUUUAACUUUUGAGUGGCCGAGCCCUAGCACUGAAAGCCAGGUAGUCUGGUUCCAAAGUCCGUACUCCUGACUAAUAAAUAGUGGAAUAAAAUUAGAUUAGCUUGACAUUUUAGCCUGUCGUCUUCUCACCUGUAGAAUAGUUAUCAAGAAUAGUAAUAUACAUAUAGUAAAAAUUUAAGUCCCAUCAUUUUAGCUUGCUUUUUUUUUACAUACUAAGAUAUUUUUUGUUACCAAGUCCAUUAAGUAUUUAGCCUGAUUAUCUUAUUGAUUAAAAUACCAAAAAUGUGUAUUGUUCAUGCAUUGAUUCAAAAUUGGGUACAAAACGGGUAGAUAUGUAACAUGCAAAUAAUAAAUUGAACUUAUAUUUUUAUCUUUUUGACAAACAACACGUUAAAAUUUAUGUCAAUCUUAUUUUUUCAAAAUCCUUUUCUAUAUUUUAUUAAGACUAAUUAUAGCAAAUAAUAGCCAUAAAAUUAAACCAAAAAACUCAUCUACUGCAGACAUAUUUGAAAGCUG